rnacentral:rRNA from 1 species
UACGUAGGGUGCAAGCGUUAAUCGGAAUUACUGGGCGUAAAGCGUGCGCAGGCGGUUCUAUAAGACAGAUGUGAAAUCCCCGGGCCCAACCUGGGAACUGCAUUUGUGACUGUAGAGCUGGAGUACGGCAGAGGGGGAUGGAAUUCCGCGUGUAGCAGUGAAAUGCGUAGAUAUGCGGAGGAACACCGAUGGCGAAGGUAAUCCCCUGGGCCUGUACUGACGCUCAUGCACGAAAGCGUGGGGAGCAAACAGG